GCAGAACGCGAAGAACCUUACCUGGGUUUGACAUGGCCGCAAAACCGGCAGAGAUGUCGGGUCCUUCGGGGCGGUCACAGGUGGUGCAUGGCUGUCGUCAGCUCGUGUCGUGAGAUGUUGGGUUAAGUCCCGCAACGAGCGCAACCCUCGUUCGAUGUUGCCAGCGGUUCGGCCGGGGACUCAUCGAAGACUGCCGGGGUCAACUCGGAGGAAGGUGGGGAUGACGUCAAGUCAUCAUGCCCCUUAUGUCCAGGGCUUCACGCAUGCUACAAUGGCCGGUACAAUGGGCUGCGAUACCGUGAGGCGGAGCGAAUCCCAAAAAGCCGGUCUCAGUUCGGAUCGGGGUCUGCAACUCGACCCCGUGAAGUCGGAGUCGCUAGUAAUCGCAGAUCAGCAACGCUGCGGUGAAUACGUUCCCGGGUCUUGUACACACCG
rnacentral:rRNA from 1 species